rnacentral:rRNA from 1 species
CAGCCGCCACGGUAAUACGAAGGGGGCUAGCGUUGCUCGGAAUUACUGGGCGUAAAGGGCGCGUAGGCGGAUGUUUAAGUCAGAGGUGAAAGCCCAGGGCUCAACCUUGGAACUGCCUUUGAUACUGGACAUCUUGAGUGUGGGAGAGGUGAGUGGAACUCCGAGUGUAGAGGUGAAAUUCGUAGAUAUUCGGAGGAACACCAGUGGCGAAGGCGGCUCACUGGUCCAUUACUGACGCUGAGGUGCGAAAGCGGGGGGAGCAAACAGGAUUAGAUACCCCUGUAGUCCCUGUCUCUUAUAC